GGAUUUAAGCAACUCAUAAGCAA
rnacentral:miRNA from 1 species